UGACAUGGCAUCACAUUGAUAUGUAUCACCAUCACAUCAAGCAUGCACCAAGGUCUUGCAAGGAAUAAAAGGCAUGUGUACCAUCAUGAUAAAGAAACUAUGUGGUCCAAAUAGCUUUGGUGACCCACGCGAUAACCUCCCCUUACCAAUUAUUUGGGACCAUAGUCAUAAACACCCCUAUAAGCUUGAAUGUUUUUCUUGUCCUUCAUUCCAAUCACCUUUUUGCUAUUUUCGAACAUAAUAGUUUGCAAUGGUUUUUUGAACAUUUCGUAGCUUAUGCUCAGCUUUCUACAUGCUUUAACUCCACACUUCCCUCCUUUUUUGUUCUCGGAUGAAAUGAAAUCGCACAUCAAUGUGUUUGUUCCUCUCAUGGUUGACCGAACUCUUUGCUAACUCAAUGGCUGACCUAUUGUGAAUCUGUAUCAAGGUGCCUCCUUCUUGUUUCAU
rnacentral:lncRNA from 1 species